CAAAAGGUUCCCUGCGCUAUUACUCAUAUCCCCCCCCGGCCACGACAGCGCUGGAGGGCCUCCCCUGCACGCUGCAAAUGUCUGCGGCAUGGUAGGAAAAACUGCCUCAUCUGCGAGGAACUAAGGCAGCUUUGUCACUCAGCACGCAUGAAAAUGCUGUUUCAUGCUGUGAAAAAAGGGUGAUGUAGCUGCGCCUGACAGAUCCCGUCAGGAGCCUGCCUCUGCUUCCCCGAGCGGCUGGAGAGAUAUUUAAUCAGCCCACAGAUGUACAGAAACUAUGUGUGCUAUUUAGGGCCACAGCCCUUGAUAAUGUGAUUGGAGAACCAAGUUUGUUUGCACAGAUCUACAGUGACGGGAUGUUAAAGUGACCGCUCUCUUCCCAGGCGGCCGGACCCGGGCUGCGGCCACGGCUCAGGGGACACGGCUAGAAAUCUGCUCUUGCAAAAAGGGGAGAGAAAGAGAGAGGGUCGGUGGGGGCGGGGGAAAAAGAAAAAAAAGAAUCGGUGAACUUUUCAAACCGUGUUUUAACUUCACUAAACAGCCGGGGGCAAGACGGAAAGUCCCUGACUCAGGCUACACCUCCACGAAAGCCGAACGGGGGAAAAAAUAACCCAUCUCCCCCUGCAGCCUGUUCCUCAGCCGUUUGCACUUCUUCGGCGUGCAUCACACAAUCGACCGGUGCUGUAUCCGGGUAGCCUGCCUUCACACACGUGCUAACAACCUGCUCUGCCAGGAAGUCAAGAGACGCUCCUUCAGUGACAAUGGACCACUACUGCCUAGUAUGCACGUCUUACCUCCCCCUUGCACAUCUCGAGUGUGCUUUGCACGCCUUCAUUUAGCCCCGGGGCACUGGGGAGGCCCACAAGAAGAGUUACGCUCAGUCCUGUGCAAAUGGGGAAACUGAGGCAGAGAAAAAGAGAGCAACUAACUUGCUCAAUGCGGUUGAAUCCACAUCCCCUGGGAACACGAAUGCACAGCCACCGGGAUUACCUGGCAGGGGAAAUCCCAGGACCGAGGUAACGCAAUUAAAAAGGCACCGUGGAGGGUGCAGCUUGCGGGCAGGACUCCCUGCAAGAGCCUCCUAGCUCGCUUCCAGCGGGAGGAUCUCGGCUGUGUGCCGACUUGAAGGAAAUAGGAGAUUUCUUCCUAGCUUGCUCCUGCAGCCGGAGGCCCAAGGGCAAGCGAAACCUGGGGGCAUCCAAACCCCGA
rnacentral:lncRNA from 1 species